rnacentral:lncRNA from 1 species
AAACCUGUGUCUGCAGGACUGGGCCCAUAAAAGCAAUCUGGCCUGUGAUAGGUUAAAAGUAACUCACUCCUCAUAAAUAAGCAAUAGCCCACCCCAAAACUGAUAAAAGGACCUUCCUUUCUUUGUUCUUCUCUCUCUCCUUCUGCUUCUUCUUCCUCCUCUCUCUCUCUCUCUCUGCCUUCCUGCCUCCUGCUCGCCUCCCUACAAUAAAGAUCUCCUGCCGGACCUCUCGGUGCGUGAGUGGCCCAAUUGGGAAGGGGCACCUGAAAGGGCAUGCGAACCCCCUUUCAGAAGGCCCCCCAGUCUGUCCAUGGAUCCUGAGCCUGAAAGACCUGUGCAGGUACCACUCUGACCUCCCAUCUUGUCCCAUUAUGAUCAGGAUUCCCCUCUGCUCCUCUUCAUUAGGGAAGGACUGCACCUUCUAGAAAAUCAAGUGGAGCGGGAACAAGGACACAGAUCUGCUGAUUUGCAUUCCAGGUACUUCACUGCACCGAUUUCCCUAGCCCUGUUUCCCCAUGUACCACCAGGAUGGACAUAAGGCUGCAACACAAAAAGAAAAAAAGCUGCUGAGGAGUGAUAGAUUAAAACAUACAUUUACCAUCUUUGGCAUUUCCACGAGAUAAGAAAAGAUUAGAAGAAAUACUUGGAGUCUGACUGGCCAGGCGCUAGAGAACGCUGAAAACCUGAGGGAGGUCAUUCCCAUCAUGAAUGCUGGAGCUAAGAUGGUGGUCUUGGAUUGUGGUCCUUAGACUGUUGGUUGCUACGGUUCAGAGACCCUAACCACAGCACGGGCACAGUCUAUCAAAAGGGACUGAGAAGAUAUUUGCAGAAAAUCUUAUAAAAACAUCAGUAAGGCGAUCAAUCCACACUGUGUCAGAUCUUGUUUACAGAUCACUGCCUUCUCUCUCCUGGGUACAGGAGGAACCUCAAAAUCUCUUCCCACACAGCCAUACAGCAGCCAUACCAAGAUGUAAGAAAUAUCAUAUGAAUCCGAACUCAUUCGCUUGUCUGCACUCCAUCUUCUGCGUCAGAAGGAAGAAGUGAUUUUGAGCAUAGCCUGCUGUUCUGUAAAAUUUUCUUUCCAAGUGCAGCCCCUCUAAAAGGAGCAGCACUGCAGGGUCUAUUAGAUUGCAGCAGAAAUCAUCAGGAUGGCCAGGAAUAUGUAACAGGGAGAAUUCCAAGCAAGGACAAAGAGUCAUCCCCUUUAGUACAGGAAAUAGAGGAAAUAGAGCUACAGAUGAGGAAAUACGAGAGGGGAAUUUCAAUGUCGUGCUGCAGGGGCAUCUGUUUGGUUGUUCCUUCUUGCUCGCUCCUUCCACCGUCUUCUCUGACUGGAGCAGUAAAUGAAAUUAGCAGACUUUCAAUUUAAAGGAGAUCAAAGGAAAUCCUACUCCACACGAUACGCAAUUAUGCACUAGUGCAGGAUAUUACUGAGGAAAAGGGAAGCGAGAAGAACUUGGAAAAGGAUUAGGUGAUCAUGUGAAUAAGAACAGCUUGUGCAGUUGCUUGCCGGAUAACAAUUACACAGCCAAUUAGUCUCCUGGUGUCAGGGUAUGCAUGGAGUGAAAACUGGGG